UUGAAGACCCUUGGUGUUUUCUGACCAGCUACUCGGCGGUACUCGUACGGUAUUAAGCCGCAUANUAUUUAUGCGUCCAUGCCCGUCGCAAGCGCGGCCAAUUUCUGGUAGUACGGACCUAGUGCCGUCGCUGGUAUUGGCCAGCUGUUGGUUGUUACGGUGUUCUAGGACUGGCUAAAUUUAAUUACCGGUCGGCGAUGCUACUGCUUUGGGUACUUUCAGGACCCGUCUUGAAACACGGACCAAGGAGUCUAACAUGUGCGCAAGUCAUUGGGAUUUUUUUAAAAUUAAACCUAAAGGCGCAAUGAAAGUAAAAGUCGUCCUUGCGUCGACUGAGGGAGGAUGAGUUGUGUUAAGANACAGCUUCGCACUCCCGGGGCGUCUCAUUC
rnacentral:rRNA from 1 species